rnacentral:rRNA from 1 species
CAGUCGCCGCGGUAAUACAGAGGGUGCGAGCGUUAAUCGGAUUUACUGGGCGUAAAGCGUGCGUAGGCGGCUAAUUGAGUCGGAUGUGAAAUCCCCGAGCUUAACUUGGGAAUUGCAUUCGAUACUGGUUAGCUAGAGUGUGGGAGAGGAUGGUAGAAUUCCAGGUGUAGCGGUGAAAUGCGUAGAGAUCUGGAGGAAUACCGAUGGCGAAGGCAGCCAUCUGGCCUAACACUGACGCUGAGGUACGAAAGCAUGGGGAGCAAACAGGAUUAGAUACCCCCGUAGUCCCUGUCUCUUAUAC